GACAGGUUGGACUGGCACAGGUAGGACUGGCAGAGGUUGGGUUGGCACAGGUUGGGUUGGAUAAUUUGGACUGGCACAGGUUGGAUUGGGACAGGUUGGACUGGCACAGGUUGGACUGGCACAGUUUNGGUUGGAUAAUUUGGACUGGCACAGGUAGGACUGGCACAGGUUGGGUUGGCACAGGUUGGGUUGGCACAGGUUGGAUUGGGACAGGUUGGACUGGCACAGGUAGGACUGGCACAGGUUGGACUGGCACAGGUUGGGUUGGAUAAUUUGGACUGGCACAGGUAGGACUGGCACAGGUUGGGUUGGCACAGGUUGGGUUGGCACAGGUUGGAUUGGCACAGGUUGAGUUGGCACAGGUUGGACUGGCACAGGUUGGACUGGCACAGGUUGGGUUGGCACAGGUUGGGUUGGCACAGGUUGGAUUGGGACAGGUUGGACUGGCACAGGUAGGACUGGCACAGGUUGGACUGGCACAGGUAGGGUUGGAUAAUUUGGACUGGCAGAGUUUGGGUUGGCACAGGUUGAGUUGGAUAAUUUGGACUGGCACAGGUUGGGUUGGCACAGAUUGGACGGGCUGAGCUGCCCCCAGGACCUUUGGGUGGGACCCACCCAGAGCUGCCCCCAGGGACCUUCGGGUGGGACCUUUGGGACCCAGGACCUUUGGGUGGGACCCGCCCUGGUCCCGAGGGUCUCCCAGGGCCCUUUGUGCUGAGUCAGCGAGAUUUUGGGAUGUUGG